UACGAAGGGAGCUAGCGUUGUUCGGAAUCACUGGGCGUAAAGCGCACGUAGGCGGAUGUGUCAGUCAGGGGUGAAAUCCCGGAGCUCAACUUCGGAACUGCCCUUGAUACAGCACGUCUUGAGUCCGGAAGAGGUGGGUGGAAUUCCUAGUGUAGAGGUGAAAUUCGUAGAUAUUAGGAAGAACACCGGUGGCGAAGGCGGCC
rnacentral:rRNA from 1 species